rnacentral:rRNA from 1 species
CCUACGGGUGGCUGCAGUGGGGAAUAUUGGACAAUGGGCGAAAGCCUGAUCCAGCCAUGCCGCGUGUGUGAAGAAGGCCUUCGGGUUGUAAAGCACUUUCAGUGGGAAGAAAGCCUUGGGGCUAAUACCCUCGAGGAAGGACAUCACCCACAGAAGAAGCACCGGCUAACUCCGUGCCAGCAGCCGCGGUAAUACGGAGGGUGCGAGCGUUAAUCGGAAUUACUGGGCGUAAAGCGCGCGUAGGCGGUCUGAUAAGCCGGUUGUGAAAGCCCCGGGCUCAACCUGGGAACGGCAUCCGGAACUGUCAGGCUAGAGUGCAGGAGAGGAAGGUAGAAUUCCCGGUGUAGCGGUGAAAUGCGUAGAGAUCGGGAGGAAUACCAGUGGCGAAGGCGGCCUUCUGGACUGACACUGACGCUGAGGUGCGAAAGCGUGGGUAGCAAACAGGAUUAGAUACCCCUGUAGUC